rnacentral:rRNA from 1 species
UUUCGAUGAAGAACGCAGCGAAAUGCGAUACUUGGUGUGAAUUGCAGAAUCCCGCGAACCAUCAAUUCUUUGAACGCAAGUUGCGCCCGAAGCCAUUCGGCCGAGGGCACGCCUGCCUGGGCGUCGUGAAUCCCCUUGCCCCYGGGCACCCCCGCACGAGCGUCGGCGGGAGUAUAUGCUCGGGCGCAGAAUGUGGCCUCCCGUGGGAUCGGCACGCACGGCGUGCCGAGGAGCGGUUGGCCGAAAAUCGAGCAUGGCGGUGACGGGCACCACGGCGUUCGGUGGAUCGAACGAGAUUGGCUGCGUCGUGGGCUCGGCAUGCUGCGGGCUCCGGACUUUGACAAAUCCCCUGAGUGCGAUC